GACGAACGCUGCCGUCGUGCUUAACACAUGCAAGUCGAACGGAAAGGCCGGGUGCUUGCACCCGGUACUCGAGUGGCGAACGGGUGAGUAACACGUGGGUGAUCUGCCCUGCACUUCGGGAUAAGCCUGGGAAACUGGGUCUAAUACCGGAUAGGACCAUUGGUUGGUACUGGUGGUGGAAAGUUUUUCGGUGCAGGAUGAGCUCGCGGCCUAUCAGCUUGUUGGUGGGGUAAUGGCCUACCAAGGCGGCGACGGGUAGCCGGCCUGAGAGGGUGGACGGCCACAUUGGGACUGAGACACGGCCCAGACUCCUACGGGAGGCAGCAGUGGGGAAUAUUGCACAAUGGGCGCAAGCCUGAUGCAGCGACGCCGCGUGGGGGAUGACGGCCUUCGGGUUGUAAACCUCUUUCAGUAGGGAACAAGGCCUCCUUGAUGGGGGUGGAGGGUACCUGCAGAAGAAGUACCGGCUAACUAC
rnacentral:rRNA from 1 species